rnacentral:lncRNA from 1 species
GAGUUCCUAUGUACACAAAUCAUGAAGAUGUUGGGUGCAUGAGUGAUUUUACAAAAGAGUGUUGCACCACUCAACACAUUCAUCAUACCUCCUAUCAUAGGGAUUUGAUGCCUAAUAAUACCUAUUUUAGGCACCAACAAAGCACAAGGAUUUAAGCUCUUGCGAACCAAACCCUCAUCCAACAACUCCUUUACUUGAUGAAUAACCUCAAGCUCAAG